AUGAACUUUGUGUAUGUUUGUUACUCUCUUUUAGGCCUUGAUGCAUUCCAGUCAGAGAAGGUGAUGGAGACCCUUAGACAGCUUGCAGAAGAUGGGCACACGGUCAUAUGCUCUAUACACCAGCCGAGAGGCUCAGUCUAUAGCAAAUGUGAUGACAUUGUGCUACUCUCAGAGGGAGAAGUUGUAUAUAUGGGGCCGGCAAAAGAAGAACCUCUAAAAUACUUUGCGUCAUUAGGGUACCAAUGCCCAGGUCAUGAGAACCCCGCUGAGUUCUUGGCUGAUCUCAUUUCCACUGAUUAUAGCUCAGCUGAAAGUGUACAGUCAUCACAUAAAAGGAUUGAGAACCUAAUUGAUGAUUUUGCAAAUAAGGUUCUAAUUACUGAAUUUAACAGUCCAGUAACACAGUCGGAGGGCUCUGAAUUUUCUACCAAACCUGCUCAGAAGUCCACUAGCAAGCAAAGACGUGGUUGGUGGAGACAAUUUCGUUUGAUAUUCAAGAGAGCAUGGAUGCAUGUUUUUCACGGAGCCUUGUCUGAUAGUGUCUUCCAGCUUUUUUCCUACUUCUGCCUUGAAAUUCGUUGA
rnacentral:rRNA from 1 species